CCUCAUCUAGGCCACAAACCCACCUGAGCCCUAGACCCUGAGCUAUACCCCCUGAGGGUCUGGGGUCUUCUCUGCUGGCUCCAGACGGGAGCCGGACACCAGUCCAAAAUGUCCACAGAGAAGAGCUGAUUCAUGUUACAAAAAGUGGAUAGCACCCCCAAGCAACAUCCUGAGUGGAAAAAGUCAGACCCAGCAGCCCACAUGUUGUACGAUUCUGUAUAUACGAAACGUCCAGAACAGGUCACAGUUGGAGGCUCACCCUGAGGUUCACCGCAGCCCACCUUCCCCGUGUCAAAUCUUUGUACGCCCACCUCUCUUGGCCUGCCUGCCACCUACUUCAGGAAGCCCUCCCAGCUGCCCCAGAAGCACAACUGAGGCUUCCCUGGUGGCUCAGUGGUAAAGAAUCCACCUGGCAAUACAGGAGACAUGGGUUUGAUCCCUGUGUCAGGAAGACCUGCUGGAGAACGAAAUGGGAACCCACUCGAGUAUUCUUGUCUGGGAAAUUCCAUGGACAGAGGAGCCUGGCGGACUAUAGUCCAUAGGGUUGCAAAUUGUCGGACACAACUUAGCGACUAAGCAACAACCACCACCUAUAUUUCUAUGUGCUCAGUCUGGCUACCAUAACUUGGUGGAUCUUACAGUACCACACAGACGAUUAGCCAGGUCACCUCCAACCUGAGAAUGUACAGUCAUGUCAGGUGGAACAUUAGGGUAAACGAAGGAACCUGCGGCUGCAGAGACAGUGGGAGUUCCAGGGAAAGAGAGAAUGCAGAUGCCACCUUGGGACUUCAGGCUUUUUCCAGCCUCCCUUUCCCUUCUACAAACUCAGGUUGAACAAUUACCAUCAGAUACCUAUGAGGGGAGGUCUUCAUGAAGCAUUUAGUUGGGUGCUCAGUUGACACUCAGCAAAGGCAGUCAUCAUCAAAAAAGAAACUGACAACUAUGGUGGUUGCUUAUUCUUCUAAAUAAAGUUUUAUUGGGACAAGGGCCAGGAUUGGAGUAAGGCAAGCAGUCGGGGUUGUGCAAGGGCAGAGUCUGAUCCUGUAUUUAAAAUGUUGCUGUCUAGUUCAUCAUGCGUUUUUGCGUGAGCUUUGAUUCUUUACACUAUUGUUUUUAAAAUGUUGUGUAUCUUAA
ensembl:lncRNA